UUUAUUUUAGUAUGAAAUUUUAUUAAAAAUCAUAAAUAUUAAUGGCCUUUUAAAAAUUGUUUAGUAUUUUCCUUUUUUUAGACUUACUACUGUAGUAAUUCAAAAAUAAGGCGAGGGGUGCCUAGUUAUGUAAAUUAGGUUCAUACGUAUAAGUUAACUAUAAAUUUGAUUACCUUUCUUCUUCAGGCGGCAAAUUGAUCUACUGAAUUUGAUAUAGAUGACCGUAGUAAAUAAAAAGAUUUCAAUAUAAUAACUGUUUCUAUUUUAUUAAUUGUUUAAAUAUAAAACACUGUUCUAGGUUCCCGUGCUUUUGUAAGAAUCUCUGCGUAGU